GAAGGAUGUUUUUUCAUGAUGUCUUUUAAGGUUUGGAUGUUGCAUCUCAUCUGACUUAUGCAGAAGACUUGGUGCCUUUAUAAAAAAAAUUUGUUCAACCUUACUAAUGUUCUUUCUUCAAUGUGAUAAUUAGUAUUUCUUGAACCAGAGACGAGGUAAAUUUCCAUCAUCCAUGUUGUAUUUGUUUGGUCAUACCCACUUUAGCUUGUGGUACUUGACACCUGCUUUUUCAUUUUUGUUGAUCCAAAUUGGACAAUGUUGCAAGGAGUAAACAACAUAUCAGUAAGUACUGCUUUUGCUGCGAAAUUAGUCUUUAACAAUUCUUUUCUCUGAUUUGAUUUUUUUUUCUUUACACUAUUUAAUUCAAAUAUGUUGUUCCUUAGCAGAUGUCAUAUAAAAUAAUCUGCUUUUGAUAUCAUCUAAUAGAUUUUCUGAUGAUCCAUGUGUUUUCAUCUGUGUUUUCAAUUUAGAGGAACAUCUUAGUAAAAUCACAUUGGAUUCUCUGUAUAUGAAUCAGAAUCCUAACAGGUUUUUCCGGAUUAAAGUCGAAACCUAAUAGGCAUUAGGGAAUCCAACCAAAUAUAAGCACCACCACAAGAGAGAAAAUCCUCUAUAAGCACACUCCAAAAUAAGAGUAUUAUAUUUUCAAUAUUGAAACAAAGGAAUGCAUAUGAGUGCGAAUGCAUAUGAGUGCUUAGACCUCCUCACAAUUAUAGACUUCAUGGGUAUGUCAUAAUUCCUUCUAGGAUUCAGACACAUUGAAAUCUUACCAAAAGCUAUUGACAAAAGUCGAUUUCAUAGAGACCGGACACAUCAAGAAUCUUCAACCCUCAACUAUUUUAGAUUAACGAAUGGAGCCUCUCUGACAUGACUCGAGGUCUUGAUGGGAUUGUGAUCAGAUCCUUAUUUAUCUCACCCUGCACUUUCUAUAGACUUUUCUUUCUAACCCUCAAGGCUCUUGUUAUGAUGAUUUUGUUAGAGGGUGUGCUCUUGAUUGUUUGAAGGAAUGAAUGAACAAAAGUCUUCUUGCUGCCAUCAAGCCUUUGAAGUGGUGUAAAGCUAUUUAUUCCUUACUGGAGCAAGUCCAAAGGAUUUGUAGUUACUCUAAGAGGCAUAGCUAGAAUUUUUGUGUUUCAUUGAUGGGAAGGGCAAGUGCUAUGAUUUUGUCAUAUUCAUUCUCUUCAAUUAAUAGAUUAAAAAAAUGAAUUAAAAGAUUUACUCAUUGGAGUUUGUUGUUAUGAAGCUAGAAGAGUAAAGGGCAUAGUUUAGGUCAGAUAUUCUAACUUGAAGCAUAGAUAUACUCGAAAAUAAGGAGAUGGAAUUUGAAAUAUUAGAUUAAAAAAAAACUUGACCA
rnacentral:lncRNA from 1 species